rnacentral:rRNA from 1 species
UGAACCAGUACCGUGAGGGAAAGGUGAAAAGAACCCCGGGAGGGGAGUGAAAGAGAACCUGAAACCCUGUGUCUACAAGCUGCGGAAGCACGACUAACGUGCAACCGUGUACUUUUUGUAGAACGGUCCGGCGAGUUGCCGUUGCUGGCAGGUUAAGUACUUAAGGUACGGAGCCGAAGGGAAACCAAGUCUUAACAGGGCGAUAAGUCAGUAACGGCAGACCCGAAACCGGGUGACCUACCCAUGGCCAGGAUGAAGUCUGCGUAAAAGUGGAUGGAGGUCCGAACACACGUCUGUUGAAAAAGGCGGUGAUGAGCUGUGGGUAGCGGAGAAAUUCCAAUCGAACUCGGAGAUAGCUGGUUCUCCCCGAAAUAGCUUUAGGGCUAGCCUCGGUAUAGUCUAAUGGAGGUAGAGCACUGAAUCGCUGCGGGGGCGUCAAAGUCUACCAAAGCGUAUCAAACUCCGAAUGCCAUAUAGAUGUUUACCGGGAGUCAGACUGUAUGAGAUAAGUCGGACAGUCAAGAGGGAAACAGCCCAGACCAUCUGCUAAGGUCCCAAAGUGUAUGUUAAGUGGUAAAGGAUGUGGGGUUUCGAAGACAACUAGGAUGUUGGCUCAGAAGCAGCCAUUCAUUCAAAGAGUGCGUAAUAGCUCACUAGUCGAGAGGUCCUGCGCCGAAAAUGUCCGGGGCUGAAACAUAACACCGAAGCAAUGGAACAUACCGUAAGGUAUGUUGGUAGGGGAGCAUUGAUAACACGAAGAAGCGGUACCGUAAGGAGUCGUGGAGAGUUAUCAAGAGAGAAUGCCGGAAUGAGUAGCGAGAUGAAGGUGAGAAUCCUUCAGGCCGUAUAUCCAAGGUUUCCAGGGUAAAGCUGAUCUUCCCUGGGGAAGUCGGGACCUAAGCUCAGGCUGAGAAGCGUAGGCGAUGGACAACUGGUUGAUAUUCCAGUACCUCUGGCUAUCAGAAAUGUGGGGACACGGAGAUUCAGGAAGUGCCUGUAAAGGAUUCAGGUGCAAGCAUGGUUUAUGCCGGGCAGGCAAAUCCGCCCGGGAAAUUGAACUGUGUGAUGCGGACCGAAAUAUAAGUAGGGAAGCUUCUGGGAGAGCCGUCGAGAAAAGCCGCUAUUGUGUAGUCAGAGCCCGUACCGUAAACCGACACAGGUGGAUGGGGAGAGUAUCCCAAGGCCGGCGGGAGAAGCAUUGUUAAGGAACUCGGCAAAAUGGCCCCGUAAGUUCGCGAUAAGGGGUGCCUGUAGAGAUACAGGCCGCAGAGAAUAGGCUCAAGCAACUGUUUAGCAAAAACACAGGUCUAUGCGAAACCGUAAGGUGAUGUAUAUGGGCUGACGCCUGCCCGGUGCUGGAAGGUUACGGGGAGUGCUUAGGAGUAAUCCGAAGGUACGAACUUAAGCCCCAGUAAACGGCGGCCGUAACUAUAACGGUCCUAAGGUAGCGAAAUUCCUUGUCGGGU